GGAGGUAGUGUUGGGCCAGUAGGGGGUAGUGUUGGGCCAGUGGGAGGUAGUGUUAGGCCAGUAGGAGGUAGUGUUGGGCCAGUAGGAGGUAGUGUUAGGCCAGUAGGAGGUAGUGUUAGGCCAGUAGGAGGUAGUGUUAGGCCAGUAGGAGGUAGUGUUAGGCCAGUAGGAGGUAGUGUUGGGCCAGUAGGAGGUAGUGUUGGGCCAGUGGGAGGUAGUGUUGGGCCAGUGGGAGGUAGUGUUGGGCCAGUGGGAGGUAGUGUUGGGCCAGUGGGAGGUAGUGUUGGGCCAGUGGGAGGUAGUGUUGGGCCAGUGGGAGGUAGUGUUGGGCCAGUGGGAGGUAGUGUUGGGCCAGUGGGAGGUAGUGUUAGGCCAGUAGGAGGUAGUGUUAGGCCAGUAGGAGGUAGUGUUAGGCCAGUAGGAGGUAGUGUUAGGAGGUAGUGUUGGGCCAGUGGGAGGUAGUGUUAGGCCAGUGGGAGGUAGUGUUGGGCCAGUGGGAGGUAGUGUUGGGCCAGUAGGAGGUAGUGUUAGGCCAGUAGGAGGUAGUGUUAGGCCAGUAGGAGGUAGUGUUAGGCCAGUAGGAGGUAGUGUUAGGCCAGUAGGAGGUAGUGUUAGGCCAGUAGGAGGUAGUGUUAGGCCAGUAGGAGGUAGUGUUAGGCCAGUAGGAGGUAGUGUUAGGAGGUAGUGUUGGGCCAGUGGGAGGUAGUGUUAGGCCAGUAGGAGGUAGUGUUGGGCCAGUAGGAGGUAGUGUUAGGCCAGUAGGAGGUAGUGUUAGGCCAGUAGGAGGUAGUGUUAGGCCAGUAGGAGGUAGUGUUAGGCCAGUAGGAGGUAGUGUUAGGCCAGUAGGAGGUAGUGUUAGGCCAGUAGGAGGUAGUGUUAGGAGGUAGUGUUGGGCCAGUGGGAGGUAGUGUUAGGCCAGUAGGAGGUAGUGUUGGGCCAGUAGGAGGUAGUGUUAGGCCAGUAGGAGGUAGUGUUAGGCCAGUAGGAGGUAGUGUUAGGCCAGUAGAGGGUAGUGUUCGGCCAGUAGGAGGUAGUGUUCGGCCAGUAGGAGGUAGUGUUCGGCCAGUAGGAGGUAGUGUUGGGCCAGUAGGAGGUAGUGUUGGGCCAGUAGGAGGUAGUGUUGGGCCAGUAGGAGGUAGUGUUGGGCCAGUAGGAGGUAGUGUUGGGCCAGUAGGAGGUAGUGUUAGGCCAGUAGGAGGUAGUGUUAGGCCAGUAGGAGGUAGUGUUAGGCCAGUAGGAGGUAGUGUUAGGCCAGUAGGAGGUAGUGUUAGGCCAGUAGGAGGUAGUGUUAGGCCAGUAGGAGGUAGUGUUGGGCCAGUAGGAGGUAGUGUUGGGCCAGUGGGAGGUAGUGUUGGGCCAGUUGGAGGUAGUGUUGGGCCAGUGGGAGGUAGUGUUGGGCCAGUGGGAGGUAGUGUUAGGCCAGUAGGAGGUAGUGUUAGGCCAGUAGGAGGUAGUGUUAGGCCAGUAGGAGGUAGUGUUAGGAGGUAGUGUUGGGCCAGUGGGAGGUAGUGUUAGGCCAGUGGGAGGUAGUGUUGGGCCAGUGGGAGGUAGUGUUGGGCCAGUGGGAGGUAGUGUUGGGCCAGUAGGAGGUAGUGUUAGGCCAGUAGGAGGUAGUGUUAGGCCAGUAGGAGGUAGUGUUAGGCCAGUAGGAGGUAGUGUUAGGCCAGUAGGAGGUAGUGUUAGGCCAGUAGGAGGUAGUGUUAGGAGGUAGUGUUGGGCCAGUGGGAGGUAGUGUUAGGCCAGUAGGAGGUAGUGUUGGGCCAGUAGGAGGUAGUGUUAGGCCAGUAGGAGGUAGUGUUAGGCCAGUAGGAGGUAGUGUUAGGCCAGUAGGAGGUAGUGUUAGGCCAGUAG